rnacentral:rRNA from 2 species
GUGCGAGACCGAUAGCGAACAAGUACCGUGAGGAAAAGAUGAAAAGAACUUUGAAAAGAGAGUUAAAGAGUACCUGAAACUGCUGAAAGGGAACCGAAUCGUUUCCAGUGUCUAUAAUCCAUGGCAUAUUUCAUUGGCGAGUGAGUGCGUGCAGCGUUUUGGAAGUGGUUUUCCGCUCCUGUCGUUGUUGUGCAUUUGCUUGCUGGUGCCCUGUGCUGUGGUGGGACGUCAGAGUCAGUUUGUGUGUCGCGGGAAAUGGUUAUUGGGGAGGUAGGUCGCUUCGGUGGCUAUUAUAUCCUGGUAACUAGUCGUCGUGGCUGAGACUGAGGUGCCUACAAUGUGCUUUCGAGUGUGCGGGUUUCUCGUGUGGCUGUUUGCUUUGAUAGCUUGCUAUGUUGGUGAAUAAGUUGUGCGAUUGAGACCUGUAUUAACUUGUUGCUGUUCGGGACUUUGAA